rnacentral:rRNA from 1 species
UGGCUCAGGAUGAACGCUGGCGGCGUGCCUAAUACAUGCAAGUCGAACGAGUUCUGAUUAUUGAAAGGUGCUUGCAUCUUGAUUUAAUUUUGAACGAGUGGCGGACGGGUGAGUAACACGUGGGUAACCUGCCCUUAAGUGGGGGAUAACAUUUGGAAACAGAUGCUAAUACCGCAUAAAUCCAAGAACCGCAUGGUUCUUGGCUGAAAGAUGGCGUAAGCUAUCGCUUUUGGAUGGACCCGCGGCGUAUUAGCUAGUUGGUGAGGUAACGGCUCACCAAGGCAAUGAUACGUAGCCGAACUGAGAGGUUGAUCGGCCACAUUGGGACUGAGACACGGCCCAAACUCCUACGGGAGGCAGCAGUAGGGAAUCUUCCACAAUGGACGCAAGUCUGAUGGAGCAACGCCGCGUGAGUGAAGAAGGCUUUCGGGUCGUAAAACUCUGUUGUUGGAGAAGAAUGGUCGGCAGAGUAACUGUUGUCGGCGUGACGGUAUCCAACCAGAAAGCCACGGCUAACUACGUGCCAGCAGCCGCGGUAAUACGUAGGUGGCAAGCGUUAUCCGGAUUUAUUGGGCGUAAAGCGAGCGCAGGCGGUUUUUUAAGUCUGAUGUGAAAGCCCUCGGCUUAACCGAGGAAGUGCAUCGGAAACUGGGAAACUUGAGUGCAGAAGAGGACAGUGGAACUCCAUGUGUAGCGGUGAAAUGCGUAGAUAUAUGGAAGAACACCAGUGGCGAAGGCGGCUGUCUGGUCUGUAACUGACGCUGAGGCUCGAAAGCAUGGGUAGCGAACAGGAUUAGAUACCCUGGUAGUCCAUGCCGUAAACGAUGAAUGCUAGGUGUUGGAGGGUUUCCGCCCUUCAGUGCCGCAGCUAACGCAUUAAGCAUUCCGCCUGGGGAGUACGACCGCAAGGUUGAAACUCAAAGGAAUUGACGGGGGCCCGCACAAGCGGUGGAGCAUGUGGUUUAAUUCGAAGCAACGCGAAGAACCUUACCAGGUCUUGACAUCUUUUGAUCACCUGAGAGAUCAGGUUUCCCCUUCGGGGGCAAAAUGACAGGUGGUGCAUGGUUGUCGUCAGCUCGUGUCGUGAGAUGUUGGGUUAAGUCCCGCAACGAGCGCAACCCUUAUGACUAGUUGCCAGCAUUUAGUUGGGCACUCUAGUAAGACUGCCGGUGACAAACCGGAGGAAGGUGGGGAUGACGUCAAAUCAUCAUGCCCCUUAUGACCUGGGCUACACACGUGCUACAAUGGAUGGUACAACGAGUUGCGAGACCGCGAGGUCAAGCUAAUCUCUUAAAGCCAUUCUCAGUUCGGACUGUAGGCUGCAACUCGCCUACACGAAGUCGGAAUCGCUAGUAAUCGCGGAUCAGCACGCCGCGGUGAAUACGUUCCCGGGCCUUGUACACACCGCCCGUCACACCAUGAGAGUUUGUAACACCCGAAGCCGGUGGCGUAACCCUUUUAGGGAGCGAGCCGUCUAAGGUGGGACAAAUGAUU